rnacentral:rRNA from 1 species
AGAGUUUGAUCAUGGCUCAGAACGAACGCUGGCGGCAGGCCUCAUACAUGCAAGUCGAACGAGAAACCUCUUCGGAGGUGGACAGUGGCAGACGGGUGAGUAACGCGUGGGGAUCUGCCCCAAGGUACGGAACAACCAUUGGAAACGAUGGCUAAUACCGAAUAAGCCCUCCUGAUAUAAUCAGAAGGGGAAAGAUUUAUCGCCUUGGGAUGAACCCGCGUAGGAUUAGCUUGUUGGUAGGGUAACGGCCUACCAAGGCAACGAUCUUUAGCUGGUCUGAGAGGAUGAUCAGCCACAUUGGGACUGAGACACGGCCCAGACUCCUACGGGAGGCAGCAGUAGGGAAUAUUGCGCAAUGGGGGAAACCCUGACGCAGCCAUGCCGCGUGAGUGACGAAGGCCUUAGGGUUGUAAAUCUCUUUCGCCUGGGAAGAUAAUGACGGUACCUGGUAAAGAAGCCCCGGCUAACUCCGUGCCAGCAGCCGCGGUAAUACGGAGGGGGCUAGCGUUGUUCGGAAUCACUGGGCGUAAAGCGCGCGUAGGCGGACCAAUCAGUUGGGGGUGAAAGCCCGGAGCUCAACUCCGGAACUGCCUUCAAUACUGUUGAUCUUGAGUUCGUGAGAGGUAAGCGGAAUUCCGAGUGUAGAGGUGAAAUUCGUAGAUAUUCGGAAGAACACCAGUGGCGAAGGCGGCUUACUGGCACGAUACUGACGCUGAGGCGCGAAAGCGUGGGGAGCA